rnacentral:tRNA from 1 species
UUUAAAUAAUUUAAAUAAAAUAUUGAUUUGUGGAGUCAAAAAUAUGAGUUAUUCAUUUUAAAUU